UAAAAAAAAAUGAGAAAAAAAGAUAAAUGAAGGAAAAGAAAGAGAAGGCAAGAAAGAGCAGGUAUUUCCCUUGACCUUAAUGAUCCUGGUUGCUAACUGCAGUGGAAUUCUGACCCCUCACCGUUGACUCUCACUGUUAUGUAAGCACGGGCUUUGAAACGUCUCUCUGGCUUUUGUAUGCUGAUAGGAGAAUCACAGCACAGAACAGAUGUAGUCAGGAGGUGAACAUGCAAUCAAAGAGCCGCCGUUGGCAGAAGCUUGACAGGCUAGACUGACAUAAGGGGAGACUGGAAGCCCAAAGAAAAACCCACCGGACGACAUUCUACAGAACCCACCCUCUUCCUCUGAGAGGGCCCUGUCCAAGUGAAGGUGGAGGACAUGAUGGACUUGGAGAUACAGAACCACUGAAACAAGGAGGAGGCUACAUACAACAUUCAAGACGGUAAACAAGUGUGAGAUACCCAGGUGGAAAUAGAGAAGUGGGGAGGGGGAACAACACAUCCGUCGCUCUCACGGAUCCUUCUCGCCCAGUUCUCUUAAAUUUCUGCACUCUUGAGGUAGUCUAGAUCCACUCCAUUUUUGUGCUGUCUACAUUCCUUUCCACUCUAGGUCUGAAAAAUACCUUCCGUCAGACCCGGAGUCUUCCUGGAUGCCAAGAGAAAUGGGAUGAAGUUUGGGAAGAAAGGGGGUGGGAACUUAAGCCGAUUCGAUCCAUACUGGAUCCACUAACGUUUCUGACUCUGUACUACGCUUCCGGGAAGGUACAGAAGACACAAAUUGUAGGGCAAGUGAGCCUUACAGACAGGCAUAAGAACUGGAGAGGUGAGGCUCAAAUCCUGGGAAUCUCAGAGAUCUGAGAUGGUGGGGUGGAACUGCUCCUUCACAGCCUCAAGGCCUGCUCUGGAACACAUAACAAAGACCACCAACUGAGAAGACCCAGGGUAGUCUCUGAAUGCAGUACCUGAAGUCCUUCCCCAGCAAAUCCCAAACUCAGCCAAAAGAAAACAUUUACCACCAAAUCCCACCCACUCCCCCAAGUUUUAUAUAGUCAGUCCUAUCCCCAUGGGAUAAAGCACACAGGGUUUUCUGACAGUGGCUGUCUUCACUGUAACAUUUGGGGAAGAGCUCCCUCUCCGAAAGCACUCGUGGUUGGAUCUUGGAUCCCUGUGGCUAGCCAGGCUCUCACUGCCUGCAGAGACUCACGUCAGAGCAGCAGCAGCUGAUGCAGCCACAGCUGCCACCACUGUCACUGCAGCUGUUGUGGGACCUGGGACCCAGGCUACCUGAGGAACCUGUCUGUCCCAGGCUGCUCUUCACCCUCCUUGACCUGGCAAACAGAGACACCGGACACAACAGAGGGAAGUGGGCAUCCAGACACCCCUGGCAGAGAGGCAGAAUUCAAUACCACAGCAAAUGAGAGCCUUGAUUCAUUCUCAGAAGAAAAGUAGUUGAAAGAAAGGGUAUGGAAUUUAGAAUCGUAGGACUGGGUUUAAAUUCCUGCACAUGCUACGAACAGCACGUUAAUCUUAGCAUAGUUACUGAACACCCUUUGUUUCAUUAUCUGUGAAGCGGAACUGAUAAGACAACCAUCUCCUGGUGGUAAGAGCAGCAGCAACUUACUAGCAUCUGGGGAUUUUUGUUUCUUUGUUUAUUUUUGGUUUUCCAAGACGGGAUUUCACUGUGUAGCCCUGGCUGUCCUGGAACUCACUCUGUGGACCAGGCUGGCCUUGAACUCACAGAGAUCCGGCUGCUUCUGCAUUCCCAAACACCGGGAUUAAAGGCAUGCACCAUCACCAGUCAGCUACCAUUCCAGUAACCCAGGAAUCGAUCAGAAGCCAAGGCCAGAGUGCUGCUGUUGCAACGGCAACGAGUGAGCUAUUAAGAAAGCCUGCAACAAAUCUCCAGCCUCCGGUGUCUUUCAGAAGCCAGAACUAUAGACCUGUGGCUUACUGGACAGUCACGGGCAAGGUGAACUACACAUCACUAAGUCUAUUCUGGUUUAACCCACGGAUAUGGAUGACGAAAGGAGAAAUUCAGAGAGACACAACAGCGUGCAUUUUCAAUCUCCCACUUCAAGCCAAAAGCCACUCGGAUCGUUUGAGCUGUGUGCUGGAGAAAACUGGUUUGGAGAAACCUGCCUCUCGAGGGCUAACUUCAGGAUGGCUUUCCUUUGCCAACCCACUCCUUCCCAGUUGUGCCUCUGUGGACACCGACUUCUGUAGCCCUGUGAUGAACAACUCCAGCAGCCAGGCUCGAUCUGUUUUUACCUCUGUGUGAGAUCUCCCUGCUUUCCUCCAGCUAUCAGGUUCACGAAGAGGCUCCUCCCCUCGCACAUCUUCCUCGGGUCCGUUCUGUUUCCAUGGGAUUUGGGCUGGAUUCAGGAUGAGCACGGAUGAGGAGGAAAAGCCACAGGAAGAGUAAAAAUACCUGGCACUUGACUUCUUCAGACACAGUCUGGAAGAUGUUGUCUUUUCCAUCAACACCCAUGAUCUUAGAAAUAAUGGUUCCUAGUUUACUGAUUUUUCUAAAGUCACUCAGAAUUGGGAGGAGAAAUCAAAAUUUUCUCAUCUCUAAGCAGCUUGACUCAUCAUAACUCCAACCCCUAAAAGGAGUUUGUUCUUGAUGUUGGAAACCAUCUGCAGCUCUGGACCCAGUCUUCCUCAUUCAGUAAUACCAAGUAGAAGUGUGUCCACUGGUCUUAAACCUCUGUCUUCCGUGACCAUUAAACUAUAAACCACAAAAGGAUUCACAGACUUCUCUUCAUUCCCAGAAUUAAGAAAUCCCACUGAGAUCUGGGAUUCAAGGGCACCUCUUGAUUAAAUUUGUCAUUCAAUUGGCUUCCUAUGAAGCUCAAGACUGAAGAAGUUUUUUUCUAUUUGCAAGUAAAGAAAUCAAUAUUUUCAUAA
rnacentral:sRNA from 1 species